rnacentral:rRNA from 2 species
AAUUUUUACUUGCAUUGAUGAAGAACAUAGCGAAAUGCGAUACUUGGUGUGAAUUGCAGAAUCCCGUGAACCAUUGAGUCUUUGAAUGCAAGUUGCACCCGAAGCUAUUAGGCCGAGGGCACGCAUGCCUGGGUGUCA